rnacentral:rRNA from 1 species
GCCGGUUCAUCGUUGAACGUGCCGGCCGGGCCGUCAGAUGCUAUCGUUGCCGGCUUUAGGUCCCGCUUGCCCCGGGGUGUGCCUCGAUAAAGAAGGCACGUAGAGUCUUAAGCUCUGGCUAGGCUAGCGUCGUCGUCGUCGUCGUCGUCGGUUGUUUGUUUGUAUGGAGGUGAGUAAUCUCUCAGCGACGACGAGCAGCAGGGAGGGAGCCAAGGGGUAAAGAGGUGGAGGCUCGUCGGCUCGGCUGCGGAGGGAGCGGCGGUGGCAGAGACACUGCCAUUGAGUGGUACAGCCCCUACUUCCUGCGGUUACGACAACCCGUACUAUUACAACCUUUAAGACUUGGAUACCUGGUUUCACCUCUAUUACGGUACGGUAGUCGAGUCGUUGUCCUUGUUCAUUAGUUCUUCUUCAAACCUCCUGAUUAAGGAUUUUUCGGUGGCGAGUAGAGUUUCCUAGUACUCGCCCGGAUAAAACUAAGACGACUAACCCGAGAGCCUUUCAGACCUGUCGUUCCACAACGUUUUGGGUUUCCUGGUGACCUCCGUGAAUCCGGUUUCAACGUCGGGUGUGCUGUUGUCGUUGUCGCAAGUUCCUCGAGAUAGAUGUCAAGUAGUCUUUUGCUCCUACCUCUACCGCGACCCAGCCUCCUGUACUUAUAGUUGACUAGUUGUCGCACCUUAGAGCACAACAGCCACGCUUCCCCGGAGCAGCAGACUUCUUCGUCGAACGAAAGUAACAGACACCUGGCGUCCCUUCCCUACAUACGCACGCAGGUAUCUAUUCUUUUCUCUGCCAACAUUAAAGUUCCUGACGCCGACGCCCAAACAUGAACUAGCUUGUCGAUGGAACGAUACACUGGUAAUAUCUGACCUGGUAACAGGAUAAACACUUACCUAGAGACAAAAACUUGUAGGGCACUAGUCGCAUGAUCAAUGGUAAGACUGAACGACUCAACGCAACG